UUUCAUUCUCAGUGUAUUAUUUUCCAGGUUGUCUAUCAACAACUACAACGCUGAGCUUGUGAGGUUAGGGCAUCCACAAUGUAUCACUAAAGUGGGCAUUAUGCAAUAAAUGCAGCUCUAAGGACAGGCAAUAUACAUUGUGGAGGUAGUCCAUAUGGCAUUAAUUGCUAAAGCAGUCUUUAGCUAUAUGGGCUGGCCACAAGGAAAUAAAAUACAAUACUUUUUCAGUUCACUGUGUACAAAUGAAUAUAAAAUCUAAAGCAGUUGGUGCUGGUGCGUGAGCAGCCGAGCAGGUGUCCGUUGAAGUAGCCAUUGCUGCUGGGUGUUGGCUCUCCUUCUCCAUGCUCCUAUAAAACAGACCAACAAGAGAUUUCAGUUUGUAUCUCUUCAUUUCAUCAGGAGAUGGAUUCAUCCAACCAAAAAUUCAUAGAUCUUCUCAGUCAAGACUCUCCAAACCAUGCAGAAAAGCCUAGCCACAACUCCCCUCCCCAACAAUUCCCCAAUAAUUUUCCCCAAUCUCAGUUUACCCAAAGCUUCAACCCACAUUUUUUACACAAUUUCUAUCCAUUUCAUUCCCCAAGCAACUAUCCACCAUAUGGUCAUUCUCCUCCCAGCUUUCAAGGUACUCCUCCAAGCUUUCAAGGUAUUCCACAUCAAGGAAAUUGGGCACAACCUAAUUUAGCCAGCUUACAAGGUUUCCAUUUGCAAGAAAAUAUGGUGCACUCACCAAAUCAGGGGUUUGGAACUGCAAACCACCAAGCAAUAUUUGCACUGCAACACCCCUCAGUUAGAGCCACUCCCAACAGUUCUUUCCAUGGGUCGGAGUCAUCGACUCCCUGCCCUGCAAGACAACAAGAAGCGCCAGUUAAUCUCGAGUCGUCAAGUGAAAGCAGCGAAGACAGAGGUGAGGAGAGCAACACGCACCAAUUGGACAGAAGAGGAGAACUUACGGUUAAUUAGUGCUUGGUUGAGCAACUCGGUUGAUCCUACAGAUGGAAAUGACAAAAAGGGAGAGUAUUAUUGGAAGGAUGUGGCUGAUGAGUUCAAUAACAACCGUCCUACAAAUGGCCACAAGAGGACAGUCAAGCAAUUGAAGACACACUGGGGAAAUGUUAAGAAGGACAUUGGGAAGUUUUGUGGAGUUUAUGCUCAAGUUAGACGUACCUGUACCAGUGGACACUCUGAUGACAUGAUCAUGGAAAAAGCUCAUCUAUGGUACAAGAAUCAAUCAAAUCAGAAGAAGCCUUUCACCUUAGAGUAUAUGUGGAGAGAGCUCAAGGAUCAACCAAAAUGGCGAAGUAUUAUCAAAAAGGAAGAAAACAAGAACAAGAGGACUAAGAUUUCUGAGUCAGGAGCUUACACAUCCUCAUCAAACCAAGAGACUGAAGAAGAAUCAUCAAACAAAGAGAGACACCCCGAGGGACAGAAGAAAGCAAAAGAGAGAUUAAAAGGAAAAGGAAAAGGAAAAGCUCAAUCUUCUCCGUUGGGGAACCAGCCAUCUCAGAACAUAGUUUUGUACAACGAAGCUAUGAAAAUUAAAGCUGAAGCAUUAUUGAAAUCAGCAGAGGCAACAGCAAAAUCAGCAGAGGCAAAACGGGAACAAAUAAGGAUGGAAAAGUGGCAGGCAUACAUUAAACUGGAAGAAAAAGAUACCUCUAAUUUUAGUGGAGAAGCUGAGAAGGCAUGAAGCUAUGUUGAACAAAUUAUCUAAAGAACUAGCUGAGGAAUAAAGGAGAAGCAUGUUAUUGUUCCACUGUAGUGCUUAGUGUAUGAUAAGUUUAGUUGUCAAAUUUGGUGUAUUGCUGAUGUACUUGUCAUUUUCAGAAUUUAGCUCUAGUACUAAUGUAAAAGCUUAGUGUACGAUUAAUUUAGUUGGCAAAUUUUUGUGUAUUGUUGAUGUACUUGUCAAUUUCAGAAUUUAGCUCUAGUACUAAUGUAAAAGCUUUUACUAUAUCCCCACUUGUAUUAUGCAAGAAAUCACAUUUUUUACCGCACAUCUCUGCUCUUAAUAUUAUUUUUCAUUCAUGAGUCAUGAUAAUCUUCAUGAAUACAUUGCAGUACAGAAAAACCCAUACUUACAAGAUGUAGGGAUAAUUUUCUUCGCAAUUCAGUUAUUACUCCAUACCUGCACAUAUAACCAUAAUAAGAAAUAUAGAUGAUAAGCAAAACAUAGCUGUUGGAAUAGUGCCAAAAGGAAGAAAUAGUUGUCACAAACUAGCUGUUGGAAUGCUGCCAAAAGUAAAAAAUAGCUGUUGCAAACUAGCUGUUGGAAUGCUGCCAAAAGUAAAAUAUAGCUGUUGCAAACAAGCUGUUGGAAAUGUAUCCUACAUAUAAGAGAUGAAGUGAGGAAGACACUACUCACAUUCUCACUACCCACUUCAUUCAGCCUCUUGGAAGAUACCACUCCCCUCUCACUGCCCCCUCCAUUCAGCCUCAACCAACUUAGGAAAAUGUCAGCCAACUCCCAAGAACAAUCUAAUCGUAUAGAAGAUUCUCUCACCAGUUCCAAUCUAGAAGAGUUGAUGUGGGAAGAAAUCAAUGACCCUAUGGAGGCUGAAAUUGAAGAUCAGAUUGAAGCAGAGCUAGAGGCAGAACUAGCUGGACCAUCUACUCAGCGUGGGGGCUACACACGCAGGUACAUCAACAGGGAUCAUGAAGAGGAUCAUAACAGAUUGUUUGCUAAAUACUAUUAUGACAAUCCUUUGUACACUGAUGACCAAUUUCGUCGGAGAUUUCGCAUGAGAAAGCAUCUAUUUUUGCGCAUUGUUGAAGCUCUUGGUGUUUGGUCCCCAUAUUUUCGUCUAAGACGAGAUGCAUUUGGCAAGAUGGGUCUAUCGCCACUGCAGAAAUGCACGGCUGCCAUCAGAAUGUUGGCAUAUGGUACACCAGCUGACCUUAUGGAUGAAACCUUUGGAGUAGCAGAAACAACAGCAAUGGAAAGCAUGAUUAAUUUUGUUCAAGGUGUGAGGCAUUUAUUUGGUCAGCAAUAUCUUAGGAGGCCUACUCAAGAGGAUACUCAACGUUUACUUCAAUUUGGAGAGGCACAUGGGUUCCCUAGAAUGUUAGGUAGCCUUGAUUGCAUGCAUUGGCAAUGGGAAAAUUGCCCGGUUGCGUGGAAAGGGCAAUUCCCCCGUGGUGAUUAUGGAGUAUCGACUAUCAUGCUAGAAGCAGUUGCCUCUGCUGAUAUAUGGAUUUGGCAUGCAUUUUUUGGGGUUGCUGGUUCUAACAAUGAUAUUAACGUAUUGGACCAGUCACCAUUGUUCACUGAGGUACUACAAGGAAGAGCACCUACUGUUCAGUUUACAGUUAAUGGGUCUGACUAUAAUAUGGGAUAUUAUUUAGCUGAUGGUAUUUAUCCAGAGUGGGCAGCAUUUGUGAAAUCUAUCAAGAGACCUCUGAAUGACAAAGCUAAAUUGUUCGCACAACGCCAAGAAUCAGCAAGAAAAGAUGUGGAACGAGCUUUUGGGGUUUUACAGAAACGUUGGGCCAUCAUACGUCACCCAGCGCGUCUUUGGGAAAGGGAAGAACUGGCUGAUAUCAUGUAUGCAUGUAUAAUUUUGCAUAACAUGAUAGUUGAGGAUGAAAGAGGCACCUAUGAUAUACCGGAUGACAAUACAUAUGAGCAAGGACAUUUUUCGGCACAAAUGGCAGGGCUUCACCAUGGCCCAAUCUAUGGAUUUGAAGACGUCCUAGAGAAAAACUUGUUGAUUCGUGAUCGAGCAACCCAUCGUCGUCUCAAGCAAGAUUUGAUGGAACACAUAUGGCAAAAGUUUGCUGGCCAACAACAUUAGAAUUUAUUACUUUUAUCACUCUUGACUAGUUUAUUAGUUUGUUAUUAAUCUUGUACUUUGCUAGUUUGUAUUCAUGCUCUCAUCUUAAUUUGCUAGUUUGUAUUCAGGAACCGAAUUUAAGAUUUACAUGUUUCUUGGACUGAGAUUUUAACUAUUUGUAUUUUGACUCCGAUUUGUUCUCUUUUACUUUUUUUUAAAUAACUCAAGCACAACCAGAACUGGAUAUUCAACCACAAGAUGAACACAUAUAUUAUUGUUGCACUAAAUGAAUCGAGCUGCAUGCAUACGACUUGCCUCCAGCAACCAGAUCAGGACAUCAAUAACCUCUAGUGCCAAGCAAAUCAUUAAAAUCCCAAAGGAAUAUAGAACUAGGUGAUGAUUAACCUGCAUUGCAUCUGUGCUUUCGUCUCAGCUGAGAGACGUGCCUGCUAGCUUCUUGUCACAAGCUGCAGCCUUGCCGUGGCCGUCCGUCCCCCGCGCGCUAGCUUGCGGGACUCUAGCCGGCCGGCCGCUGCGCGCUCGCCGCUCCCGCGAUCGGCCGGAUGGCCGUCUGGCCGCCACGCGCUUGCCGCCGGCUGCCGAGUUCACGCGCUCGUCGCUCCCGUGGCUGGCCGGCUCCUGGCAGCCGUCCGCUCCUCCAGAUUUCCGCCCGGCGACGGUAGGGUUUCACCUUGCUCGCGCGAAUUGGGGAUCUGAGGCGGAGGAGAGACGGGGAAGUUGAGAAGAAGAGAUAUUUUAUUUACACGUGGGACCCACCUUAUCUUCACAUAGGC
rnacentral:lncRNA from 1 species